rnacentral:tRNA from 1 species
GGUCCCGUAGGCGAGUGGUUAAGCCAUCUGACUUUCUAUCAGAUUAUCGCAGGUUCAAAUCCUGUCGGGAUCACCA